CCUACAUCGGUGACCACAUUUUCUAAAGGGAAUGGCUUGUGCAUCUGAUUCCCCUUCCAGGACCGACCUAUGCUGCUCUUUCCUCUGUUUCAAAGAGAGACCAGAGAUCAGUCAGCUGAGGCUGCAGCCUGGUCACUGUCCUAGCACAGGACCUACCAGCCCUGCCGAAUGCAGAUUCCCAGCCUUCAGACUAGAGAUGUGCAUGCCAUGAAGCCACCAAACCUGUGCACUUCGUCACGGCAGCCGGAAGUCCUGAGCCAGCUGUGCUGCAGCUGCUGGAGGGAGAACCACCGCACACCUCCUAGCACUUACAUGCUGCUCUCAGGUUAGGGGAUCCACCAUUGAGAAGACAACGUUCAUUCGGGACAAGUAUGCCACUAUGUCAUUUUUUUAAAAUUCUCUAAGCAAUCAGCCACAGCCCUUCGACUGAAGCAAAACAGUUCCUAUCUGUGAAGGUUUGCAUACGACGCUCGGCCCAAGGAGUGGCACUAUUAGGUGUGACUCUGUUGGAGUAGGUGUGGCCUUGUUGGAGUAGGUGUAUCACUUUGGGUGUGGGCUCUAAGCCCUCCUGCUAGCUGCCUGGAGGCCAGGAUUCUCCUAGCAGCCUUUUGAUGAAGAUGUAGAACUCUCAGCUCCUCCUGCACCAUGCCUGCCUGGAUGCUGCCAUGUUCCUGCCUUGAUGAUAAUGGACUGAACCUCUGAACCUGUAUGUCAGCCUCAAUUAAAUGUUGUCCUGAGG
rnacentral:sRNA from 1 species